rnacentral:rRNA from 1 species
GCAGUAGACGCUGAAGACUUUAGCUUGCUAAAGUUGGAAGAGUUGCGAACGGGUGAGUAACGCGUAGGUAACCUGCCUACUAGCGGGGGAUAACUAUUGGAAACGAUAGCUAAUACCGCAUAACAGCAUUUAACACAUGUUAGAUGCUUGAAAGGAGCAAUUGCUUCACUAGUAGAUGGACCUGCGUUGUAUUAGCUAGUUGGUGAGGUAACGGCUCACCAAGGCGACGAUACAUAGCCGACCUGAGAGGGUGAUCGGCCACACUGGGACUGAGACACGGCCCAGACUCCUACGGGAGGCAGCAGUAGGGAAUCUUCGGCAAUGGGGGCAACCCUGACCGAGCAACGCCGCGUGAGUGAAGAAGGUUUUCGGAUCGUAAAGCUCUGUUGUAAGAGAAGAACGUGUGUGAGAGUGGAAAGUUCACACAGUGACGGUAACUUACCAGAAAGGGACGGCUAACUACGUGCCAGC